ensembl:Y_RNA Y_RNA Y RNA
GGCUGGUCCGAAAGUAGUGGAAUACCAGACAUUAUUACAGUUAGUUUCACUAACCUAAGUUCCAUCCCACUACUAACUUUGACUGGUCUUUU